rnacentral:siRNA from 1 species
AGGAGAGAUCUAAAUGGCAGGACA